ACAUUCAAAGCCAUGCUUGCAUCCUUGAGCUCAGUCAGAGUUUUGCAAUAAUGUCAUGGAUUAGCAGUGGAGCCAGUACAGAAAUGCAUUGUAUUCACACUGCAAAGCUAGCUGAUUGCCCUAAGAGGUCAUAGCAAACACUUUUUACCUUUCCAGUAAAGUAUCUCCUUCUUGAAGCUAGCUGAGAUCUGAUCUCCUGGACAUGAUAUAUUUUAGGUGGAUGGAGAAGGUUUCGAGUCUGACUUGCAUGUUAUGAGCAGGUCCCAGUCCUUGAGAUUCCCAGCCAGCAAUUAUAAGUGUUGCAGAAACUUUAUGGCAUCAGAAAUUACUGACUGCAUCAAAACUGCAUCUGCCGCAUGGUUUAAAUUCAAUCCAUGGGGCUACAGAGUCUUUUAAAUCACCGAAGGCAAUGUGAAAAGCUCGACUCUGACAAGGUGGAAAAGCUCCUGUGACCCAGAUACAAAGGCUUGGUGCUGAGGCACGCCAGGAGCCUCCCAAAAACCCAGAGCCCUGCUUGCAUGGGAGGAAUUUCUCACGCAUAGAGGACAACCCAGAUCGUAAGCAAGAAGGAUGUGAAAUUAAUACGGGGAAAUAGGAUGACAGGAAGAGAAUGUGCACUCAUGUGCACGCGUGCCUGUGUGCAUGAGGGAGUGCGUUGGCUUUAUGUGCAAUUUUGAAGCAUUCUUCUAAAAGCAACAGACAAAUAAUCCAAGCAUAUAUUACCGCUCCUCUGUUGUGCUGCUCAUUGUGCAGACAGCGUGGCGACAAGCUCAGGAAAAUGCCCAGGGAGAGAAAUGCAGCAAAAAAAAACCCCACCUCUCCUACAUUCAAAUAUAUUCUGCAGUAUUACCCAAAACAGACAGAUGCCCAGCCAUCAGCACGGAUUAGCACAUCAAGUGAUCUCAGAGCAGCGCUAACAACACAAGAGUAAUUGUAAGGCAUGAGGUUGUUUUGUUUUGCAUGUAGUGUAUCUCGAUUUGAUAGUAACCAUUUUAAAGUCUGGAAGAAUUUUGCACUCGCUAAGCUGAUUUUACAAGCAAAGAGAAGUGCUUGUCAGCAAAGGUUAAUGUAGCUGUCACUGCAGGAGAGCCCUGUGGGUAGAAAGAGUCUCAUCUGGCUGUUUUUUAAAGGGCAAGAAUCACUGGAGUAGAGGAGGAAUUUUUCCAUAUUUAGAAACCUUUUGCGUGGUUGUGCUGAACUGCUGCAUGGUGCUGCUCUACAGUAACGGCUUCUAUAAUAUUGUGAUUAUCAGUAUUUGUUUCCACUGCUUGUAUUUUAGGGUCUUGUCUGUUGUUCUUCUCCAAAAUGAAUCGAAUUUGAACUGAGAAGU
rnacentral:lncRNA from 1 species